rnacentral:rRNA from 1 species
AACGAACGCUGGCGGCAGGCCUAACACAUGCAAGUCGAACGCUGUAGCAAUACAGAGUGGCAGACGGGUGAGUAACGCGUGGGAACAUGCCCUUCGGUUCGGAAUAACUCAGGGUAACUUGAGCUAAUACCGGAUACGCCCUUAGGGGGUAAGAUUUAUUGCCGAAGGAUUGGCCCGCGUCCGAUUAGCUAGUUGGUGAGGUAAUGGCUCACCAAGGCGACGAUCGGUAGCUGGUCUGAGAGGAUGAUCAGCCACACUGGGACUGAGACACGGCCCAGACUCCUACGGGAGGCAGCAGUGGGGAAUAUUGGACAAUGGGCGCAAGCCUGAUCCAGCCAUGCCGCGUGAGUGAUGAAGGCCCUAGGGUUGUAAAGCUCUUUCGCCAGGGACGAUAAUGACGGUACCUGGAUAAGAAGCCCCGGCUAACUUCGUGCCAGCAGCCGCCGUAAUAC